UGGGCGUAAGAGCUCGUAGGCGGCUUGUCACGUCGGAUGUGAAAGCCCGAGGCUUAACCUCGGGUCUGCAUUCGAUACGGGCUAGCUAGAGUGUGGUAGGGGAGAUCGGAAUUCCUGGUGUAGCGGUGAAAUGCGCAGAUAUCAGGAGGAACACCGGUGGCGAAGGCGGAUCUCUGGGCCAUUACUGACGCUGAGGAGCGAAAGCGUGGGGAGCGAACAGGAUUAGAUACCCUGGUAGUCCACGCCGUAAACGUUGGGAACUAGGUGUUGGCGACAUUCCACGUCGUCGGUGCCGCAGCUAACGCAUUAAGUUCCCCGCCUGGGGAGUACGGCCGCAAGGCUAAAACUCAAAGGAAUUGACGGGGGCCCGCACAAGCAGCGGAGCAUGUGGCUUAAUUCGACGCAACGCGAAGAACCUUACCAAGGCUUGACAUAUACCGGAAAGCAUUAGAGAUAGUGCCCCCCUUGUGGUCGGUAUACAGGUGGUGCAUGGCUGUCGUCAGCUCGUGUCGUGAGAUG
rnacentral:rRNA from 1 species